rnacentral:rRNA from 1 species
UACGUAGGGGGCAAGCGUUAUCCGGAUUUACUGGGCGUAAAGCGCGUGUAGGCGGUUGCGCAAGUUGGUUGUGAAAUCUCCCGGCUCAACCGGGAAACUGCAGCCAAAACUGCGCGGCUAGAGUGGCAGAGAGGAAAGUGGAAUUCCCGGUGUAGUAGUGAAAUGCGUAGAUAUCGGGAGGAACACCAGCGGCGAAGGCGACUUUCUGGCCUGUUCUUGACGCUGAGGCGCGAAAGCUAGGGGAGCAAACGGG